UAAACUUGACUGAAAGAAGUUUUUUCCAUUUAGGUUCUGGUAUGAUGGCCUUCACUAUGGUACAGAUUGUACCGAAGUUUGUUAGAGUUAUGCUUCUAAUUGCUAAGCUUCAAAUGAAGCCUUCAGAUGGCUCAGUGAGCCUCAGGCAGCUGGAAAAAACUGAAGACCUCAAACACUGAGGAAGAUCUGACAUGCAAUAUUAUUUCAAGAUUCCUUCUUCAAUAUUAAGUUUGUCCCACAGACCAGCACACCUAGCCAGGCGUUUUAAUGCAAUGUUAGUCAUGACUUAGAAAUGUGGGUAAUCUAUGCCACCAUGGUUUGUGAGUAAAGAAAAUGCAAAUAUCAUCCUGUGACUGAGAGGCUGAUUAGAUAUUACAAGUCUACACACAAGACACAUCUUCAGUAAUGUGCCAUUUGAUGAGCGAGGAACUGUAAAGAAAGGCCUCCUGCAGUUGCCGUGUUGCUGUAUUUGUCAUCAGAGCAUAUGAGUAAAAGGAGAUGGACUUCUUGCUGCACACUGGUACCUGAGGAAAAAAAGUUUUGUGACCAGCACAAGCUACAUCUGAGGGCCUGGAAUUUCUCUGGAAGAAAACAAAAAAUGAUGAAUUUAUAGGAGUUUCUGCCAUUAUUGCAGAGGAUUUUGGAAUUUCUGCUAUUCUUGGCUGGAUGGAGAAAGGAAGAGCAAGAAGCAGAGUACCCUGACCUUGGGAAAAGGCUAUAAUCUAGUGUCUUUAUAGAGAUGAGGAAGCUGCUUUGACAAGUAGAAGUUAAACCCUAAAUGGUCCGGGACUAUCUAGCCAUUGCUUAAUCUUCUUAAUAUGGACGCACACUUCAGAGCCCUGCGAGCACUAAGAGGCCUUAAUAGCCAUGAUGGUCCCACCUGGGCACUCCCCGCUCCCUCUGCCUCUCGGCCAGCAGCUGUGUUUGCACCCAGCACCUGCCUGAGGUGUGCCAGACACGCAAUGCUCUUCAGCUCAGCCAGGCCUGGGGCCGGACCAGCACUCACUGCACCGUAG
rnacentral:lncRNA from 1 species